rnacentral:tRNA from 2 species
UGAGAUAUAGCCAAGUGGUAAGGCAUUGGUUUUUGAUACCAAAAAUCCUAGGUUCAAUUCCUAGUAUCUCAG